UACGUAGGGUGCAAGCGUUAUCCGGAAUCACUGGGCGUAAAGCGUGCGUAGGUGGCGUGUUAAGUGUGAUGUUAAAUCGUGGGGCUCAACCCUGUCGUUGCAUCACAUACUGGCAUGCUAGAGGACGGCAGAGGCAAGUGGAAUUGGUAGUGUAGCAGUGAAAUGCGUAGAUAUUACCAGGAACACCAAUGGCGAAGGCAGCUUGCUGGGCCACUCCUGACACUGAGGUACGAAAGCGUGGGGAGCGAACAGG
rnacentral:rRNA from 1 species